ACUAUUGUAAAUAUAACAAAGUUAUCCUCAUAUUUCGUUUCAUUAACUAAGAAAGGUCCAUUUUUUCCGUUACUCACAAAUUAGAAGCUGUAAAGCCCUAACUCUUUGUUCAUUUAAAAGAUCAUAUCAUUCACUCUUUCUCUUCAUCUCCGUUAAAAAUCCGUUGCCGGUGAUCGUAUCGCCUUCGAUAAGAAGUAAUCAUGGCUGGAGUGGGGCCGAUCUAUCAGGACUGGAAACCGUGGUGGUCCGCAAGAAAGCCCCCAACGCCGCCGUCAAGAAGGAUGAGAAGGCUGUCAACGCCGCCAGGCGCAGCGGCGAUGAGAUCGAGGCCAUUAGAAAAUUUACUAAAUAUCUUCACCAACGCCGCAAGAAAGCCCCCAACGCCGCCACCAAGAAAGACGAGAAGGCCGUCAACGCCGCCAGGCGCAGCGGCAAUGAGAUCGAGACCAUCAGAAAAUAUUGGAAAGUAUUCCUACCUUGCGAAAUGCAACUCAUCUUCUCAUCUCCAUUCCUCCUAUUGCAGGCAUUGGUGAUCCUUUGCUUUGUUUGCAUAAAGACCUGCAAAAUCUAUUGACUUCUGGGAAUCUUGAAUAUUUGUGUUAUCUAUCCACAAUCG